rnacentral:rRNA from 1 species
UACGUAGGGGGCAAGCGUUGUCCGGAAUCAUUGGGCGUAAAGCGCGCGUAGGCGGCCCGAUAAGUCCGCUGUAAAAAGUCAACGGCUCAACUGUUGAACGCCGGUGGAUACUGUCGGGCUAGAGUCCGGAAGAGGCAAGUGGAAUUCCUGGUGUAGCGGUGGAAUGCGCAGAUAUCAGGAGGAACACCAAUAGCGAAGGCAGAUCUCUGGGCCGUAACUGACGCUGAGGAGCGAAAGCAUGGGGAGCGAACAGGAUUAGAACUACCGGAGU